rnacentral:rRNA from 1 species
CGGACGGGUGAGUAACGCGUGGGUGACCUGCCCCAUACCGGGGGAUAACAGCUGGAAACGGCUGCUAAUACCGCAUAAGCGCACAGAGCUGCAUGGCUCCGUGUGAAAAACUCCGGUGGUAUAAGAUGGACCCGCGUUGGAUUAGCUGGUUGGUGGGGUAACGGCCCACCAAGGCGACGAUCCAUAGCCGGUCUGAGAGGGUGAACGGCCACAUUGGGACUGAGACACGGCCCAG